CGGACGGGUGAGUAAGCGUGGGUAACCUGCCUUGUACUGGGGGACAACAGUUAGAAAUGACUGCUAAUACCGCAUAAGCGCACAGUAUCGCAUGAUACAGUGUGAAAAACUCCGGUGGUACAAGAUGGACCCGCGUCUGAUUAGCUAGUUGGUAAGGUAACGGCUUACCAAGGCGACGAUCAGUAGCCGACCUGAGAGGGUGACCGGCCACAUUGGGACUGAGACACGGCCCAA
rnacentral:rRNA from 1 species